GGGCCCUUAGCUCAGCGGUAAGAGCAGGGGACUCAUAAUCCCUUGGUCACAGGUUCGAAUCCUGUAGGGCCCA
rnacentral:tRNA from 1 species